GACCUCGGAUCAGGUAGGGAUACCCGCUGAACUUAAGCAUAUCAAUAAGCGGAGAAAA
rnacentral:rRNA from 1 species